UGCUUGUCUCAAAGAUUAAGCCAUGCAUGUCUAAGCAGAGCCCUUGAAUGGUAAAGCCGCGAAUGGCUCAUUACAACAGCCACAGUUUAUUGGGUCUCCAUUUACUCGGAUAACUGAGCUAAUUGUUGAGCUAAUACACGCACCAAAGCUUCGACCUCACGGGAGGAGCGCAUUUAUUAGAACAAAACCAAUCGGACUUCGGUCCGUCCAUUGGUGAAUCUAAAUAACUUAGCCGAUCGCAUGGUCUCGCACCGGCGACUCACCUUUCAAAUGUCUGCCUUAUCACCUUUCGAUGGUAGUUUAUACGCCUACCAUGGGUUUUACGGGUAACGGAGAAUAAGGGUUCGACUCCGGAGAGGGAGCCUGAGAAACGGCUACCACAUCCRAGGAAGGCAGCAGGCA
rnacentral:rRNA from 1 species